ACAAGCGGUGGAGUAUGUGGUUUAAUUCGAUGCAACGCGAAGAACCUUACCUGGUCUUGACAUCCCGGAGACCCUUAGGAAACUAGGGGGUGCUUCCAUCUGGAAGAAUCUGGAGACAGGUGCUGCAUGGCUGUCGUCAGCUCGUGUCGUGAGAUGUUGGGUUAAGUCCCGCAACGAGCGCAACCCUUGCCUUUAGUUGCCAGCAGUUCGGCUGGGCACUCUAAAGGGACUGCCGGUGUUAAACCGGAGGAAGGUGGGGAUGACGUCAAGUCCUCAUGGCCUUUAUGACCAGGGCUACACACGUACUACAAUGGCCGAUACAAAGGGCAGCGACACUGCGAGGUGAAGCCAAUCCCGUAAAAUCGGUCUCAGUCCGGAUUGGAGUCUGCAACUCGACUCCAUGAAGUUGGAAUCGCUAGUAAUCGUGGAUCAGCAUGCCACGGUGAGUACGUUCCCGGGCCUU
rnacentral:rRNA from 1 species